AAACCGUUUAGGGGUAAACCUGAGAAACCCGAAAGGUCGAAGGGAGAAAUUCAUUCGCGUUUCGCCGUUGGCGUGAGACGGUCGUGUGACGGAAAUCGUUCGCGUUUUCCGCACCUUUCGUUUUUCGAUCCGAUAGCGAACGCGUGCACUUUUCUCCUGGUAGGACGUCGCGAUCCGUUGGGUGUCGGUCUACGGCUCGCGGUGGAGCCCGGAUGUACGGCUUGCCGUCACGUCCGGACCCGCGUGUCCCGGCUGACUCGCUCGACGGUAUACGAAAGGUUUAAGGCCGCUCUUAGAGCGUUCGGCUCGUCGCAAGCGCGUCAGAUGUUUCGGUGAUCGGACCUAGUGCCGGUUCUGACCUCUGGCGACUGUUGGCGGCGAAGUUCUCGAACAGACCUUCGACCGAUCUGCGACGCUAUAGCUUUGGGUACUUUCAGGACCCGUCUUGAAACACGGACCAAGGAGUCUAGCAUGUGCGCAAGUCAUUGGGAAUCACUAAACCUAAAGGCGCAAUGAAAGUAAAGGUCCGCCUUGCGCGGACUGAGGGAAGACGAGCGGUUUACCCUUAAAAGUGGCCGCUCCGCAUUCCCGGGGCGUCUCAUUCUCAUCGCGAGAAGAGGCGCACCAAGAGCGUACACGCUGGGACCCGAAAGAUGGUGAACUAUGCCUGGUCAGGACGAAGUCAGGGGAAACCCUGAUGGAGGUCCGUAGCGAUUCUGACGUGCAAAUCGAUCGUCGGAACUGG
rnacentral:rRNA from 1 species